rnacentral:rRNA from 1 species
UGGCGUGGGCGAUCGGCGGGGCGCCGCGAUGUCGCGGCGGUUCUCCUAUUCCUGGAAGGGAGCCGGAGGGGAGGUAGGGAUAGGUGAGGGGAGGGAGAGGUAGCGAGCGAGGCGGGGAGGAGAGGAGGUCUAGGCGCCGGACUCGCGGGAGCGGCGGCAGGAGGCAGCUAGGGCGCCGGUGGCUUUGGCGCUCCGGAGGGUCGGCACAGCCUAGCUUGGCGACAGCAGCUGAUACAGAAUUCGAGGCUGGUCACGUUCGGCCCUCGGUGGUGUCGCUCGGGCCGUUGGAGAAGAAGGAGGAGACGAGGCAACAGCGGCAGCGGCCCUUGGCGGCGGAGCUCGGAAGGGGCUCGUGUAGAAACGUGUGGACGUCCGCGCUAUACUGCCUCAGGUCCUAGAUCUACGGUGGAAGCUGCUGCUGAUGAUGUUUGGGCUCCCACGGAUGAUGAUACACCUCCGGCGGCUGCUGGUCCUCAUCAAUCCUCCGAGGGUCCGUCCUCCGGAACGGAAAAGCUAGCUACAACGAAAACACGAUCGGAAGAAUUCCGUUUGAACAACUUUAGUACAGACAUGAAUCUAUAACAACGAAGGCGACUGAGCAAACAUAAGUUCGAAUACAUAAGCUCGGGAGCUCCGGGG